rnacentral:lncRNA from 1 species
GCAAAGGGUUAAACCCUUAUGCCGGCUGAACUGCUGACCUGAAGGUUGUGUUGGUGACCUGAAAGUUGCUGGUUCGAAUCUGUGAGAUGGGGUGAGCUCUUGUUUGCCAGCUCUAGUUUGUGGGGACAUGAGAGAAGCACACCAGAAUUCGCGUCUGACAUGAUAAAAAAAUCUAUGAACUGCUCUUUAACUUCUUUUAAUUGAAGUUAUUUUAUACAUGCAGACACAAUGGAAAGAAGAAUUUGAUGGCCCUUCCGUAUUGGCCCUAUAUCCCAGGUUCCGAUCCCAGGUUUUCUGUUUAUCCAAGAUUAUCUGGCAGUGAUGACUCAGAAUCCAAUUUAAAGGAGAAAACCUGGGUUCAGAUCCUGGAUAGCCUCUGAAAUCCCCUGCAUGGCCUUUCCAUGCUUUGCAGGGAUAUAACGGGACACACAAUGAUGACAUCACUACUGAGACCUACCAGGGGCCUCUGCUGUAAUAAUUUUGUAAACUGGAGAAGUGAAUCUUAUGGGGAAGGAAUAUCAAUCUCUUCAAAAUGAUAUAUGCACAUGCAAGCGAAACAUAUUUGUGUGUCUCCAACAGGAUAUUUUUUUCGUGUCAGGAGCAGCUUGAGAAACUGCAAGUCGCUUCUGGUGUGAGAGAACUGGCCAUCUGCAAGGACGUUGCCCAGGGGACGCCUGGAUGUUUUGAUGUUUUUACCAUCCUUCUGGAAGGCUUCUCUCAUUUCCCCGCAUGGAGCUGGAGCUGAUAGAGGGAGCUCAUCCACGCUCUCCCCCGGUUGGAUUCGAACCUUUAGAAACCUUCCCCACUCUCCUGCCAGCUCUUAUGACUCACUUCAAGACUGGGCAAGAGGCCUGUGUGGAGCUCUUACCAGUCACAUGGGCUCAGCCAGGCUCACAGGGAGCAUAGUCCAGCCAGCUUGGAGACUUCCAGAUC